CCAUUCUAUAAAUUGACAUUUCAGCACUUGACAAACGGAUAGCGACUCCUAAGUAGUACUUAAAGCAGGGCUACGUGCGAUUGUGUUAAGUGCAUUUUUGGGAAAAGCACGUGAAACAAUAAAAAACGUUCGUAAAAUGAGUUGUAGAAAAUGCUCUUAAGCGUUAAGAUCAAUUGUUAUCGAGAAGCGCAGUCCUGAAAGUUUUUAAGUUUUUUUUUUAUGCUGAAAAGAAUAUGUGCCAAGAAUUUAGUAAGAUCAUUAAAUAAUUGUUUCUUUUAUUUUCCCCCGAUGUCCACAGCCUUGUUUACUUUAUCAGAAAAAAAAAAAAAAAAAUUUAAAUUUUUUUUUUUUUUUUUUUUUUAAAAAAAAAAAAAAAAAAAAAAAAUAUUUUAAUAAAAUAAAAAAAUUUGGGUUCCAAAGAUUUUUCAUAUUUUUCAAAAAAAGAAAGAGAUAAUGUUAGUUUUUUUUUUUUUUUUUUAUAAAAUAAAUUUAUAAAAAAUUUCGAUUUAUUAAAAAAAAAAAAAAAAACUAACAUUAUCUCUUUACUUUUGUUAAAAGUAUUCAAAUCCUACGGACUCCAAAUCUUGAAAUAUUAUGAAAACAUGUUUUUUUUUCAUUACGUAAUAUGCAUGAAUGAAUUAUGCACAGAUGGGCUAUUUAUUUAGAAAAUAAAUAGGCAAAAAUUUUGAUUUAAUGUCUUGAAAAAAUAAAUUUUCAUAGGGCAUGGACUGAAAUAUAAAUGUAGAGAUCUGGCUCUCUGUAUUAUGAAUAAAUACGUUCAUACUGAUCACUGAGCUGAUUUAAUUUCAGUGUUUAACUCUUAACAUAAAUCUGUUUUACUGCAUCUCUGAUUUGCAGCAGAGUGGAUGGAGUUGCAUAAAUACUUUACAUCUCUCUUCACGAUCGCUCCUGCUGAGGAUGCUGGGAAUGCGGACAGCCCUUCAGAAUCCUGUUUAAGCAUCGUAGAGUUAGAUGAGAGGGAUGAAGACGCUACAAUGUACAGAUCCUUUGGAGUCAAGCAGGGAAAUGAGAGCAAAAUGUUUGCAGCUGUUGGAAAUGGAGGAGAUUUUGGAUAUUCGGUUUUGCCUUUCACACCAUGCUUCCCGAGAUGACCAAUUGAUCCAUCGGUGAAUGUGAUUCUGACAUAAAGAUCAACUCUUCUUCUGAGAUGUGGCCGCUGUCUCAAGAGGCUGAACAAUCUUCGUCAUCAUUGCCAAGAUCAGAAAGCUUUUCUCCACUUCAGACGAGGCUUCAGAGAUCACAGCACCUGUCGACUGCCUCAUAAUCCUUUCUGUCAAAUUCACGAACAGGAGGCCAGAAAGUGGAACUCAGUGACUCUCCAAAACCAAGAUCUUCUGCAGUACAGCAGGACAAAUCCUCAGAGCUUCUGCCAACAUCAUCUCCUUCACUCCCAAAAAUCAAAUUAAAUCAAACUCUCCCAGGCUUUGAGGACCAUAUUUCCACUGUCAGCCUCUCUCCUGGUGAAAUACCAUCUGUUAGGCCUUCUCAAUGUCAUUUUCCUGCUUUUCUCAUCUCUAAACAAAGUCCAAAACCUCCAGAUUCUCUGUCCCCAAGGUCUUGAUCAGUUUCUUCUCCAGUAAACCCAGUCCAAUCCAGACCUGCUCAUUCAACACCUGUUUCUGAACUGUCUCCAGAACGUGCCAUCACUUCCCCAAGUGCUGCAGUUCCUUCAUUAAAGCUGUCACUUAGAGAAUCAUCACAGUCUGGAUUAGUCUCAUAUAGAAGUAUAUCUACUAUGCCUGUCUAUGACUCCUUCAGUUCUUCUAUGCUGAGGGAUGAAUCUUCUCACCCGGCCUCCGAAUGGUUUAAGGGCUCACGGAGGUCACCCAAAACCAAAGUGUGCUCCUUACAGCUAAACAUGU
ensembl:lncRNA